rnacentral:rRNA from 1 species
GAUGAACGCUGGCGGCGCGCCUAAUACAUGCAAGUCGAGCGAACGGACGAGAAGCUUGCUUCUCUGAUGUUAGCGGCGGACGGGUGAGUAACACGUGGAUAACCUACCUAUAAGACUGGGAUAACUUAGGGAAACCGGAGCUAAUACCGGAUAAUAUUUUGAACCGCAUGGUUCAAAAGUGAAAGACGGUCUUGCUGUCACUUAUAGAUGGAUCCGCGCUGCAUUAGCUAGUUGGUAAGGUAACGGCUUACCAAGGCAACGAUGCAUAGCCGACCUGAGAGGGUGAUCGGCCACACUGGAACUGAGACACGGUCCAGACUCCUACGGGAGGCAGCAGUAGGGAAUCUUCCGCAAUGGGCGAAAGCCUGACGGAGCAACGCCGCGUGAGUGAUGAAGGUCUUCGGAUCGUAAAACUCUGUUAUUAGGGAAGAACAUAUGUGUAAGUAACUGUGCACAUCUUGACGGUACCUAAUCAGAAAGCCACGGCUAACUACGUG